AACCUCUGAGGCUGUCACAUGUGCCAAUUUCACAAAUGGUGGAAACUCAGAACUUCUGAAGUCGAGAAGCUGCAAAUCCACACUAAAGCACAUGUGGACAGAAAGCAGUGAAGAGUUGUCUAUUGGCCGACUCCUGUCACAGACUAUUCAUGGCAAAGAAAAUGAUGCAGAUUUGGACCUAUGACAUGACCCCCAGAACCUCAGUCUGAGCAAGAUUCCUGGGACUGGCUGAGGAGAUCCACAGAUGUUCAAAAGCCUCAGCCCAGGCCUAAGAAAAGGCCCAUUGUAAAUAAGGAAAAGUUUAAGAAAAUGGGGCGAUUUUCAUUCCAACAUCAAAAACAACAAAGAUGAACCUGUUGACAACUGGGGAAAUUGUAGAUCAUAACCAUGGGGCAUUUAGUGCUUAUUUGGGGCAUAACCCCACUAGUGGGGGAUUGUAACUGUCAGGUCAGUGCCUCCUACAAAAAUUGUGGGAUUUGACAUGGCACAAUAAACUGUGAUGGAUGCCAGAGAUCCCAAGUCACUUACCUGUCGUGUCAAAUAUGAAAGGAUUGACAAGUCUCUAAGAACUCACUCUGCAACAACAGCUCUUCAAACACCUGUUACCAGGAGCAUACCCAAGGCCAAGUGCCCUGGCUCUGCUCCAAGCCCGUCCAGGGGCCUGUAUUUACAUUCCCUUUUAUAGUAGAUUAUAGGCGAGUACAGAAAGUGUCCCCACUCUAACUGUCAUGUGGGCCCUCCCCCUUGGAAGGGGAAAAGGGGUGGGGCUGAAGACUG
rnacentral:lncRNA from 1 species